rnacentral:rRNA from 1 species
UACGGAGGAUGCAAGCGUUAUCCGGAAUGAUUGGCGUAAAGCGUUUUAAGGUGGUUUGGUAAGUCUACUGUUAAAUAUCAGGGCUUAACCCUGAACAGGCAGUGGAAACUAGCAAGCUUGAGUACGGUAGGGCAAAGGGAAUUCCCGGUGUAGCGGUGAAUGCGUAGAUAUCGGGAAGAACACCAAAGGCGAAAGCACUUGCUGGCCGAACUGACACUGAUAGACGAAAGCUAGGCAGCAAUGGAUUAGGAUACCGGUCAGUCC